ACGCUCGACACCUACGGGAGGCAGCAGUGGGGAAUAUUGCACAAUGGGGGAAACCCUGAUGCAGCGAUGCCGCGUGAAGGAAGAAGUAUCUCGGUAUGUAAACUUCUAUCAGCAGGGAAGAAAAUGACGGUACCUGACUAAGAAGCCCCGGNUAACUACGUGCCACAGCCGCGGUAAUCUGAGCGGGCUGGCAAGGC
rnacentral:rRNA from 1 species